rnacentral:piRNA from 1 species
GCAGCAGGAAGGAGUAAAACUUUGAAGGC